ACAAACGACUCUCGGCAACGGAUAUCUCGGCUCACGCAUCGAUGAAGAACGUAGCAAAAUGCGAUACUUGGUGUGAAUUGCAGAAUCCCGUGAACCAUCGAGUUUUUGAACGCAAGUUGCGCCCGAAGCCAUUUGGUUGAGGGCACGUCUGCCUGGGCGUCACG
rnacentral:rRNA from 1 species